UACGGAGGGUGCAAGCGUUGUUCGGAAUUACUGGGCGUAAAGCGUGUUUAGGCGGGUUCGCAUGUCAGAUGUGAAAUCCCCCGGCUUAACUGGGGAAGGUCAUUUGAAACUGCGGAUCUUGAGUUUCGGGGAGGUGAGCGGAAUUCCCAGUGUAGAGGUGAAAUUCGUAGAGAUUGGGAGGAACAUCGGAGGCGAAAGCGGCUCACUAACCGAAUACUGACGCUGUCACACGAAAGCGUGGGGAGCAAACAGG
rnacentral:rRNA from 1 species